AAUCAACGCUGGCGGCGUGCCUCAGACAUGCAAGUCGAACGAUUAAAGCUCUCUUCGGAGAGUGCAUAGAGUGGCGCACGGGUGAGUAACACGUAAGUAAUCUACCUUCGAGUGGGGAAUAACGUCCGGAAACGGACGCUAAUACCGCAUAAUGCAGCGGCAUCGUAAGAUGACAGUUGUUAAAGAUUUAUCGCUUGAAGAGGAGCUUGCGGCAGAUUAGCUAGUUGGUAAGGUAAUGGCUUACCAAGGCUACGAUCUGUAACCGGUCUUAGAGGACGGUCGGUCACACUGACACUGAAUAACGGGUCAGACUCCUACGGAGGCAGCAGUCGGGAAUUUUGGGCAAUGGGCGAAAGCCUGACCCAGCAACGCCGCGUGAAGGAUGAAGUAUUUCGGUAUGUAAAGCACUUUAAGUUGGGAAGAAAAAGCUUCACCUAAUACGUGGAGCCUUGACGGUACCGACAGAAUAAGCACCGGCUAACUCUGUGCCAGCAGCCGCGGUAAU
rnacentral:rRNA from 1 species